AUACGUAGGUGGCAAGCGUUGUCCGGAAUUAUUGGGCGUAAAGCGCAUGUAGGCGGUUUGGUAAGUCGGUCGUGAAAAUGCGGUGCUUAACGCCGUAUGGCGAUUGAAACUGCUGAACUUGAGUGCAGGAGAGGAAAGGGGAACUCCCAGUGUAGCGGGGAAAUGCGUAGAUAUUGGGAAGAACACCGGUGGCGAAGGCGCCUUUCUGGACUGUGUCUGACGCUCAGAUGCGAAAGCCAGGGUAGCGAACGGGAUUAGAUACCCCGGUAGUCCUGGCCGUAAACGAUGGGUACUAGGUGUGGGAGGUAUCGACUCCUUCCGUGCCGGAGUUAACGCAAUAAGUACCCCGCCUGGGGAGUACGGCCGCAAGGCUUAAACUCAAAUGAAUUGACGGGG
rnacentral:rRNA from 1 species